UUUGGGACACACCUUUAUGGUUAACCCGUUUUCUUAUUUAUGACACCACAAUUCAGGUUGACACCUUUAUUGGUUAUAUACCUUUACCUUUCCUUUUCUUUCUUGCUUUAAACACCACAACUUUGGGACACACCUUUAUGGUUAAUCCCCUUUCUUCAUUAUGACACCACAAUUCAGGUUGACACCUUCAUUGGUUAUAUACCUUUACCUUUCCUUUUUCUCUUUGGUUUAAAUACCACAACUUUGGGACAAACCUUUAUGGUUAACCCCCUUCCUUUUCUUGGUUUAAACACCACAAUCCCUUUCCUUUCUUGGUU
rnacentral:lncRNA from 1 species